CAAUUUCGAGUGCAAGUGCCACAGUGUCAGCUAAAGAAACACAACUGCGGGUUUUCUGCAGAGCAAAAUGGUUCUGAAAUGUCACUGAAUAGCUCACAAAGGACGCCAAUCUACGACAACAGAGACAUAAGCAUAUAGGAGAAAGGGUCCACACAUCCUCCUUUCAAAGGUCACAGAAAGCUUGCUGCAGAUCAGGAAAUGUCUUCAGUUUCCAAAGCCUCUCAUAGCAUGUGGAGAAAAGAGAGAGAAAGGGAGAGAAGAGUCAUGGACCCUACUUUAUGGUUGCCAUGGAUGCAAGGUCAGCCUUCCACACUUGGAUCUACCAGCAGAGUUCAGACAGGUCAACGUGUGACCGGCUCAGGCCCUGGGGUUAAAAGUUCAAGCAGCUAUGGAAAAACCAAUAUGUCCACGCAGAGUAUGCUGUACAAUUUAUUUCAAUUUACAUCAAGCCAUGCAUAUAAAAUUUAGAUAAAUUCCAUUCAGAUCUGAUGUUGCCUGACACACAAUGUAUGCAAACAGAUGUCUGUGGGGCUUUUUCUGUGCUUUAGAAAACAACAUUAAAUUUAAAAAUAUGUCUCUGGGAUUUCUUUAUUGAAUUACAAAAUGAACAUAAUUUUAACUUAAAUGUUUUCAUUCUUUUUUCCAAUUUUUUUGUGUGGGGGUCUUAAUAAUUUCUCAGUUCUCAAUCUACUCUAUGUCAUAUUAAAGAGGAUAAUGUAUAUUUACAAAAAAAAAAAA
rnacentral:lncRNA from 1 species